rnacentral:rRNA from 1 species
GCUUACAGCCACACUGCACUGAGAACACAAGACAUUGUAAGAUUUUAGAGAUUAGAACAGUUGGGCCAGGUUAAUACUUAGAUGAGAGCCUGCCUGGGAGUAACUGGUACUGUAAGCU